rnacentral:misc_RNA from 1 species
AUUCUGAUGGAACACCACGCCGGAAAACGCAGACUCGACGUCCUCACCGCCCACCUCGCUCCCGCCGGCGAUAUUUCCCCCGCAAAUGGCCACGUUCUCCCUGCGAAUUGUUGUAGCUACGAAAGUUCUGUCAUUCGAAGGUGCGAUAAUAAGACGUACUUUGCAAGACAAGGAUCCGAAGCUUGUGGCGCUUAUAUGAGGCAGGCUUCAACUACAGAGGGUAAUCAACGAUCUAAUUCUCAGGCGUUUCGGGAUGUCUCUGAAGGACCAUUGUAUUCAAGACCUGCAAAGGAAGGAAAGAUUCCGAGUGUUGGAAUAGAACAGCCUGUGGCCCAGAAUUUCAAUUUGAUUGCAUCUGAGCCUCCAUUGUUUGCCAGGGCAUGUUUAGGAAUCAAUGAACAAAAUAACCAUUUCAUUUCGGAGACAAAACAGCCAUCCUUUGGAUCAAAUGGAAUUGGUGGAUUGUCUCCGAGGAUGGAUGUGGCAGAAUCAGGCCGAGGUUAUGUGCUGACCGUGGAAAUUCCAGGAGUCAAGAUCAAUGACAUUAGAGUUGAGGUUGAUGACCAAAAGUUGACUAUAAUCGGCAAACGCUCAAAUCAAUACUGUGAAGUGGUAGGAUAUUCAAGUGACUCUAUCUCUUCAUAUCACAAGAGAGAGAUUUUACAAGGACCUUACCAGGUUGUGUGGCCACUUCCAAUCAACAUUAACAAGGACGGAGUAUUUGCUGAGUUCUGGGA